rnacentral:misc_RNA from 1 species
GAUGAAGAACGUAGCGAAAUGCGAUAAGUAAUGUGAAUUGCAGAAUUCCGUGAAUCAUCGAAUCUUUGAACGCAUAUUGCGCCCUCUGGCAUUCCGGAGGGCAUGCCUGUCCGAGCGUCAUUACAACCCUCAGGCCCCCGGGCCUGGCGUUGGGGAUCGGCGGAAGCCCCCUGUGGGCACACGCCGUCCCUCAAAUACAGUGGCGGUCCCGCCGCAGCUUCCAUUGCGUAGUAGCUAACACCUCGCAACUGGAGAGCGGCGCGGCCAUGCCGUAAAACACCCAACUUCUGAAUGUUGACCUCGAAUCAGGUAGGAAUACCCGCUGAACUUAAGCAUAUCAAUAAGCGGAGGA